rnacentral:lncRNA from 1 species
UUUUCAGAGAGGAUGCAGAUAGAUUAGUUUAUGCGGAUUUUUUUUUGUUGAUUAUAAUAUUUGGUGAAAUUCACUUACUAUUUAUGUUUUUGAAACUUUUUUGAGAUAUAGGAUGGGCAUGUCCAACUAUCAUUUUUUUCUAUCUUUUUGAUGAGUUAGAUUUUAUAUCCCUUCAUCCUUUUUGUUUUCCUUUUUUAUUUAAUAAUAUGCCUUUAUUUAAAAAAAUACAUACUAUUUUCUCGAUCCUUUUCUUCAAAAACAUUUUCUCGAUUCUUAAAUCAGCUUGUUUUUAAAAUAAAAUAAUAUAAAUAUAAAUUAAAA